rnacentral:rRNA from 1 species
AUUGAACGCUGGCGGCAUGCUUUACACAUGCAAGUCGAACGGUAACAGGCCGCAAGGUGCUGACGAGUGGCGAACGGGUGAGUAAUGCAUCGGAACGUGCCCAGUCGUGGGGGAUAACGCAGCGAAAGCUGCGCUAAUACCGCAUACGAUCUAUGGAUGAAAGCGGGGGACCGAAAGGCCUCGCGCGAUUGGAGCGGCCGAUGGCAGAUUAGGUAGUUGGUGGGGUAAAGGCUCACCAAGCCAACGAUCGGUAGCUGGUCUGAGAGGUCGACCAGCCACACUGGGACUGGGAGACGGCCCAGACUCCUACGGGAGGCAGCAGUGGGGAAUUUUGGACAAUGGGCGCAAGCCUGAUCCAGCAAUGCCGCGUGCAGGAAGAAGGCCUUCGGGUUGUAAACUGCUUUUGUACGGAACGAAAAGGCUCUGGUUAAUACCUGGGGCUCAUGACGGUACCGUAAGAAUAAGCACCGGCUAACUACGUGCCAGCCGCCGCCGUAACAC